rnacentral:rRNA from 1 species
AUUGAACGCUGGCGGCAUGCUUUACACAUGCAAGUCGAACGGUAACAGGUUAAGCUGACGAGUGGCGAACGGGUGAGUAAUGCAUCGGAACGUGCCCGGUCGUGGGGGAUAACGCAGCGAAAGCUGCGCUAAUACCGCAUACGAUCUGAGGAUGAAAGCGGGGGACCGUAAGGCCUCGCGCGAUCGGAGCGGCCGAUGUCAGAUUAGGUAGUUGGUGGGGUAAAGGCUCACCAAGCCAACGAUCUGUAGCUGGUCUGAGAGGACGACCAGCCACACUGGGACGAAGACACGGCCCAGACUCCUACGGGAGGCAGCAGUGGGGAAUUUUGGACAAUGGGCGAAAGCCUGAUCCAGCAAUGCCGCGUGCAGGAAGAAGGCCUUCGGGUUGUAAACUGCUUUUGUACGGAGCGAAAAGGUCUCCUCUAAUACAGGAGGCUCAUGACGGUACCGUAAGAAUAAGCACCGGCUAACUACGUGCCAGCCGCCGCAGUAA